CCAGAGAUGGAUUGGUGCCUUCGGGAACUCUGAGACAGGUGCUGCAUGGCUGUCGUCAGCUCGUGUUGUGAAUGUUGGUUAAGUCCCGCAACGAGCGCAACCCUUAUCCUUUGUUGCCAGCGGUUAGGCCGGGAACUCAAAGGAGACUGCCAGUGAUAAACUGGAGGAAGGUGGGGAUGACGUCAAGUCAUCAUGGCCCUUACGAGUAGGGCUACACACGUGCUACAAUGGCGCAUACAAAGAGAAGCGACCUCGCGAGAGCAAGCGGACCUCAUAAAGUGCGUCGUAGUCCGGAUUGGAGUCUGCAACUCGACUCCAUGAAGUCGGAAUCGCUAGUAAUCGUAGAUCAGAAUGCUACGGUGAAUACGUUCCCGGGCCUUGUACACACCGCCCGUCACACCAUGGGAGUGGGUUGCAAAAGAAGUAGGUAGCUUAACCUUCGGGAGGGCGCUUACCACUUUGUGAUUCAUGACUGGGGUGAAGUCGUAACAAGGUAGGCGUAGUGCU
rnacentral:rRNA from 1 species